AAACAUUUUAUCAAUAUCUCACUACAGAAAAAAGUCAUACGUCAGAAUUGCGUUGAAAAAAUAUGACUUCAAUGAAAAAAAAAUUGGGGAAUUCACCUCGACCAUUGGCGAAAAGAAGAAAACAAGAUGGCGGCGAUUCUAAAUUUAGCUCUGAACC